rnacentral:rRNA from 1 species
GACGAACGCUGGCGGCGUGCUUAACACAUACAAGUCGAACGAAGUGGCGAACGGGUGAGUAACGCGUAAUCAACCUGCCCUUCAGAGGGGGACAACAGUUGGAAACGACUGCUAAUACCGCAUACGGAAGGAGGGGAUGGAGUCUGAUUAGCUAGUUGGCGGGGUAACGGCCCUCCAAGGCGAUGAACAGUAGCAGGUCUGGGAGGAUGAACGUCCCCAUUGGGACUGAGACACGGCCCAGACUCCUACGGGAGGCAGCAGUGGGGAAUCUUCCGCAAUGGACGAAAGUCUGACGGAGCAACGCCGCGUGGGUGAUGACGGCCUUCGGGUUGUAAAGCUCUGUUAAUCGGGACGCGUUACCGGAAUAGAAAGCCACGGCUAACUACGUGCCAGCAGCCGCGGUAAUUC